AUGGAUCACCAGUGAGCGGCGGACGGGUGAGUAACACGUGGGCAACCUGCCCUGGAGCGGGGGAUAACAUCUGGAAACAGGUGCUAAUACCGCAUGACUACUAAAACCACAUGGUUUUCGUAUCAAAGAUGGUUUCGGCUAUCACUUUAGGAUGGGCCCGCGGUGCAUUAGCUAGUUGGUAAGGUAACGGCUUACCAAGGCGAUGAUGCAUAGCCGAGUUGAGAGACUGAUCGGCCACAUUGGGACUGAGACACGGCCCAAACUCC
rnacentral:rRNA from 1 species